rnacentral:rRNA from 1 species
UACGGGGGGGGCAAGCGUUGUUCGGAAUUACUGGGCGUAAAGCGUGCGCAGGCGGUUCGUUGUGUCUGCUGUGAAAUCCCCGGGCUCAACCUGGGAAUGGCAGUGGAAACUGGCGAGCUUGAGUGUGGCAGAGGGGGGUGGAAUUCCGCGUGUAGCAGUGAAAUGCGUAGAGAUGCGGAGGAACACCGAUGGCGAAGGCAGCUCGCUGGGACGGUACUGACGCUGAGGCGCGAAAGCGUGGGGAGCGAACAGG